rnacentral:ncRNA from 1 species
UCUUAUCAAGAGUGGUAGAGGGACAGGGCCCUGUGAAACCCGGCAACCGGCGUGUUACGCACGGUGCCAAUUCCCCCGCGGAAGUUCCGCGGAAGAUAAGU